AGUGAACGCUGGCGGUAGGCCUAACACAUGCAAGUCGAACGGCAGCACAGUAAGAGCUUGCUCUUACGGGUGGCGAGUGGCGGACGGGUGAGGAAUACAUCGGAAUCUACUUUUUCGUGGGGGGUAACGUAGGGAAACUUACGCUAAUACCGCAUACGACCUACGGGUGGAAGCAGGGGAUCUUCGGACCUUGCGCGAUUGAAUGAGCCGAUGUCGGAUUAGCUAGUUGGCGGGGUAAAGGCCCACCAAGGCGACGAUCCGUAGCUGGUCUGAGAGGAUGAUCAGCCACACUGGAACUGAGACACGGUCCAGACUCCUACGGGAGGCAGCAGUGGGGAAUAUUGGACAAUGGGCGCAAGCCUGAUCCAGCCAUACCGCGUGGGUGAAGAAGGCCUUCGGGUUGUAAAGCCCUUUUGUUGGGAAAGAAAAGCAGCAGGUUAAUACCCCGCUGUUCUGACGGUACCCAAAGAAUAAGCACCGGCUAACUUCGUG
rnacentral:rRNA from 1 species